UCUUUUUCUGGGCAUAGCUCAGACAUCAACUAGCAAUCCUGAGAGUGGAUGUUUCAAGCUUUGGAAAUUACCUUCUUAAUAAGGUCUUACACUGGAUAGAGUACAGAGCCAAGAAUUAGGAAGACCUGAGUUGAAAUUUCAUCACUCUGGGCAUGUAUAUUCAAGAAUGUUUGGAGACCACUGGGCUGGAAGUCAUUCCAUCUCUAAUAUUUACUAGAUGUCUUCAAGUGAAGACUGGAUGGAUGACUACUCAGAGAUUCCUGUUUGAGCAUUGCCUCUGGAUUUCCUUCCAAUUCUGAGAUUCUAGGCUGUGUGAUCCCAAGAACACUUAGAGAUGAAACUGGAAGGAAGAUAACAAAUGGAAACAUACUUGUUCUUCUCUAUCAACACAUUUUCAUCAUUUACAGCAGUGAAGCCACCACAUCUGAACUUGAAUACCACAAUACCAGAAGCACCAAGUGAAGAAGGGGGAAGUGGAGAGGCUGAAGUUGCAGAAGAGUUGUGGGAUCUAAGUAUGCAGAAGAAAUCUAUGCUGGAAGCAACACAAAUUUGAUGGCAUUUGAAUACCAAUUUCCAAGAGAUUACAAAGAGAAGAUAUCAAAAUAAUAAAAAAAAAUCAUGGAGGGCAUAAAUAUUUUUUAAAAGGUUACCAAUUAUACAUCAGUCUUCUGACUAACCUAUCUGCUUGCUUUUUCAUCUCCAUAAAAUCUUUGAGUAUGAUCUAUAAAGGUUGCUAAAAGACAUGAGAACAGAUGAGGUUUUGCAGAUGAUUCUCUGAAACAGACUGUAUGUGUAGUGAUAAAACCAAUGGAAAUGUGUAGAGAAGUCAAGGACCCACUGUACUGUUUGAUUACAAAAAAGCACGAAAACAUUUGACUUGGAAGAAUGAAAUAAGUACGUAUGUUCAUAUUAUGUCAACUCCUAACUAGAUACAUCUGCAGAGAUGACUGUUCAAGCAAUCUUCUGAUGAUCAAUAUUAAGUGAAGCAAAAGCCAGGGAGACAUUUGAGUCAAAGGUACUCAGUAAUGGACUUACAGAUGUUGUUUAUUUCCUCUAUUAUUACAUCAACUCAUUCAGUGGAUGUUGGACAAAGUCUUCUCAUGUACAAACAGUUAUACUGUUUGUAGAUGGUCUCAAAGUUGUGCGAUUCUUAGCAUUUUUUUGUGUCCUUUUCCAUUAGUCAGCAGUGAUCACUGUGACGACUGCAAAGAGCACACAGGACCUCGUGCCAUUUUGUUCUUUUAUUCUGUUUUUUUGCCAUCACCAAAGAAUCUAUCACCUAGUGACUGACCAGCUGGUAAGGAGGCUCUUUGCACUUAAGUGUUGGUUUUUUCUCCUUUGUUUUCAAAGAGGACCAAUGAUAUACACACUUGUGUGUGAAUUAGAUUUAAGUGAGACA